rnacentral:rRNA from 1 species
CACGGAGUUAGCCGGUGCUUAUUCCUCUGGUACCUUCAAGCUCAGAUGAAUCCGAGUUUUUAUUCCCAAAGAAAAGCAGUUUACAACCCAGAGGGCCUUCAUCCUGCACGCGGGAUGGCUGGAUCAGGCUUGCGCCCAUUGUCCAAUAUUCCCUACUGCUGCCUCCCGUAGGAGUCGGGCCCGUGUCUCAGUGCCCGUGUGACUGAUCAUCCUCUCAGACCAGUUACUGAUCGUAGACUUGGUGGGCCGUUACCCGCAACUAUCUAAUCAGACGCACACCCAUCUUUUACCGCCGGAGCUUUAAUAUUCAUCUGAUGCCAGACAUAUAUAUUAUGGGGUAUUGCACUUCAUUUCUAAAGCAUAUCCCCCGAGUAAACGGCAGGUUGUGUACGUGUUACUCACCCGUACGCCACUCCCCUUGCGGGCGUUCGACUUGCAUGUAUUAGGCCUCCGCUAGCGUUCAUCCUGAGCCAGGAUCAAACUC